GCACUGCUGAGGAGUCCCAAACAGGGCGAAACAUUUGUCCAGUGC
rfam:Echinostoma caproni strain Egypt genome assembly, scaffold: ECPE_scaffold0000636